rnacentral:rRNA from 1 species
AUCAUGGCUCAGGAUGAACGCUAGCGGCAGGCCUAACACAUGCAAGUCGAGGGGUAGAGUUCUUCGGGACUUGAGACCGGCGCACGGGUGCGUAACGCGUAUGCAAUCUACCUUAUACAGGGGAAUAGCCCAGAGAAAUUUGGAUUAAUGCCCCAUAGUGUUAUCGAAUCGCAUGGUUUGAUAACUAAAGUUCCAACGGUAUAAGAUGAGCAUGCGUCCCAUUAGUUAGUUGGUAAGGUAACGGCUUACCAAGACAAUGAUGGGUAGGGGUCCUGAGAGGGAGAUCCCCCACACUGGUACUGAGACACGGACCAGACUCCUACGGGAGGCAGCAGUGAGGAAUAUUGGACAAUGGGCGCAAGCCUGAUCCAGCCAUGCCGCGUGCAGGAUGACGGUCCUAUGGAUUGUAAACUGCUUUUGUACAGGAAGAAACACUGGUUCGUGAACCAGCUUGACGGUACUGUAAGAAUAAGCAUCGGCUAACUCCGUG